AUGAACGCUGGCGGCGUGCUUAACACAUGCACGUCGAACGAUGAAGCCCAGCUUGCUGGGUGGAUUAGUGGCGAACGGGUGAGUAACACGUGAGUAACCUGCCCUUAACUCUGGGAUAAGCCUGGGAAACUGGGUCUAAUACCGGAUAGGAGCGUCCACCGCAUGGUGGGUGUUGGAAAGAUUUAUCGGUUUUGGAUGGACUCGCGGCCUAUCAGCUUGUUGGUGAGGUAAUGGCUCACCAAGGCGACGACGGGUAGCCGGCCUGAGAGGGUGACCGGCCACACUGGGACUGAGACACGGCCCAGACUCCUACGGGAGGAAGCAGUGGGGAAUAUUGCACAAUGGGCGCAAGCCUGAUGCAGCGACGCCGCGUGAGGGAUGACGGCCUUCGGGUUGUAAACCUCUUUCAGUAGGGAAGAAGCGAAAGUGACGGUACCUGCAGAAGAAGCACCGGCUAACUACG
rnacentral:rRNA from 1 species